ensembl:lncRNA
GCCCACUGGUUGGGAUGUGGACAAUGAGGUUUGAGGCAAAACUGUUUUUGUUUUUUUAAGCAGGUUGUUUCGUCACACUCGCUGCUUUAAAAACAUACUCUUCUCCCUGGCGGUGAAGCAUCAGUUUAUGAUGGCAUAUCACUUGGAGUCGGACACAACCAAAAUGUCCAGCUUGACUGUCUCUGCUGUUUCAACUGUCUCCGUUGAUAUUUUGCAUCACGAUAUACAAAAGGUUCUGCAGCUGAAAGACCCUGAUAUUACUCACUGUCAGCUCGCAAAGAAUGAGUCUGUUAAUGGAGUGAACUACAGGGAAGGUAUGGUCGUUGUUCAUGGCUCAGCUGUUUUCCAGAGUUUGCAGAUUAUCCAGAUGGUUGUUGUGGAGAAGAGCUUGAGCUUUAUUGUGAAAGAGCGGAGUGCUUGGUAUAGACGUUUCCCGGGCACUUCCGGUUUACUUCGUGUUUCUGUUAGAACUUCCGGCGCAUGCUGAGUAGUGGUGUAAAAAUGGCUUAAAGUUUUUUUCAUUUCAAGUAUGCAGGCUUAGCCUACACCACCUAACACAGAGGCGCCACUGGGUGGAGUUUUCUCACCAUCCUGCACCUUCAUAUGACUAAAGAUAGAAUUUAAUGACUUUUUGCAAAAUAUUUUGGGAUUCUUUUCGGACGCGGAAGUUUAAAAAAAGUUUUUUCCAUUACUUUUACAAGUAUGGAGUGAACCUCAUGCAGGCUUAGCCUACACCACCUAACACAGUGGCGCACCGGGUGGAGUUGAACCUCGAGGCAUCUGUCUGCGAGGCGAGAGUGCUAAUCACUACACCACUGUACCGUGUCAACUGCUGCCAUUAGAAUGUCUUAUGACUCCAAUUUAGAAAAAAUUUCUUUUUUUAUUCAAAAGUACGUUUUCUCACCGGCGUCCCCCUUCAUAUGAUUAAAGAUAGAAUUUCAUGACUUUUUGCAAAAUAUUUGGGGAUUCUUUUCAGAUACUGAAGUUUUAAAAAAAAAUGUUCCAUUACUUUUACAAGUGUGGAGUGAAUCCCAUGUAGGCUUAGCCUACACCACCUAACACAGAGGAUCCACUGGGUGGAGUUGAACCCGAGGCAUCUGUCUGGGAGGCGAGAGUGCUAACCACUACACCACUGUACCGUGUCAACUGCUGCCAUUAGAAUGUCUAAUUACUCCAAUUUAGAAAAAAUUCAGAUUUUUAUUCAAAAGUACGUUUUCUCACCGGCGUCCCCCUUCAUAUGACUAAAGAAAGAAUGUCAUGACUUUUUGCAAAAUAUUUGGGGAUUCUUUUCAGAUGCUGAAGUUUUAAAAAACUUUUUUCCAUUACUUUUACAAGUAUGGAGUGAAUCCCAUGCAGGCUUAGCCUACGCCACCUAACACAAUGGCGCCACUGGGUGGAGUUGAACCCGAGGCAUCUGUCUGGGAGGCGAGAGUGCUAACCACUACACCACUGUACCGUGUCAACUGCUGCCAUUAGAAUGUCUUAUGACUUCAAUUUAGAAAAAAUUCGGAGUUUUUAUUCAAAAGUAGGUUUUCUCACCGUCGUCCCCCUUCAGAUGACUCAAGAUAGAAUUUCAUGACAUUUGCAAAAUAUUUUGGCAUUUAUUUCAGACUUGGAAGUUUAAAAAAAGUUUUUUUCAUUACUUUUACAAGUAUGGACUAAACCCAUGCAGGCUUAGCCUACACCACCUAACACAGUGGUGCCACUGGGUGGAGUUGAACCCGAAGCAUCUGUGUGGGAGGCGAGAGUGCUAACCACUACACCACUGUACCGUGUCAACUGCUGCCAUUAGAAUGUCUUAUGACUUCAAUUUAGAAAAAAUUCGGAUUUUUAUUCAAAAGUAGGUUUUCUCACCGUCGUCCCCCUUCAGAUGACUCAAGAUAGAAUUCAUGACAUUUGCAAAAUAUUUUGGCAUUUAUUUCAGACUUGGAAGUUUAAAAAAAGUUUUUUUCAUUACUUUUACAAGUAUGGAGUGAAGCCCAUGCAGGCUUAGCCUACACCACCUAACACAGUGGCGCCACUGGGUGGAGUUGAACCCGAGGCAUCUGUCUGGGAGGCGAGAGUGCUAACCACUACACCACUGUACCGUGUCAACUGCCUGCCU